rnacentral:sRNA from 1 species
GGGCGAGGAUACUUGCCUUCGCGGUUCGACUUUCUUUUCAGGCUUGACUC